GGGCGGGGCCUACGGGAGGCAGCAGUGGGGAAUAUUGGACAAUGGGCGCAAGCCUGAUCCAGCAAUGCCGCGUGUGUGAAGAAGGCCUGCGGGUUGUAAAGCACUUUCAAUUGGGAAGAAAAGCUUGAGGUUAAUAGCCUCGGGUCUUGACGAAUCCUG
rnacentral:rRNA from 1 species